GAUCUUUAUUUUUAUUUAUUAUAAAUAAAAAAGUAUAUAAAUUUUUAUAUUAAUAAUAAAAUUUUACUGGGGUGGUAUUAAAAUUUAAUAAACUUUUAAAUAUAGUUAACAUUAAUAUAUGAAUAAUUGAUCCAGUUUUAUUGAUUAAAAAUUUAAGUUACCUUAGGGAUAACAGCGUAAUUUUUUUUUAUAGUUCAUAUCAACAAAAAAGAUUGC
rnacentral:rRNA from 1 species